rnacentral:rRNA from 1 species
ACGCAGAAGGAGAGCACGAGCCGGAAAUGGAAAAGCCGGUACAAGCGUAUAGCAGUCAUGCAGGCAAAACCGCAUGAAAAAUGUAAAGCGUUAUGUGGAUCGAACAUUAGUAGAGAAGCGUGUGAGCCAGCUGCCAAGAAAAGCCGCUAUUGUUUCAUAAGUACCCGUACCGUAAACCGACACAGGUGGAUGAGGAGAGAAUCCUAAGGCCGGCGGGAGAAGUGUUGUUAAGGAACUCGGCAAAAUGACUCCGUAACUUCGGGAGAAGGAGUGCCACAGAGAUGUGGCCGCAGAGAAAUGGCCCAAGCAACUGUUUAGCAAAAACACAGGUCUAUGCAAAACCGAAAGGUGAGGUAUAUGGGCUGACGCCUGCCCGGUGCUGGAAGGUUAAGAGGAGAGGUUAGAGCAAUCGAAGCUUUGAAUUUAAGCCCCAGUAAACGGCGGCCGUAACAAUAACGGUCCUAAGGUAGCGAAAUUCCUUGUCGGGUAAGUUCCGACCCGCACGAAAGGCGUAAUGAUUUGGGCACUGUCUCAACAACACACCCGGUUAAAUUGAAAUACCAGUGAAGAUGCUGGUUACCUGCGCCAGGACGGAAAGACCCCAUGGAGCUUUACUCCAGUUUGAUACUGGGAUUCGGUACUGUCUGUACAGGAUAGGUGGGAGGCUAGGAAAUGGUGACGCCAGUUGCCAUGGAGCCAACCUUGGGAUACCACCCUUACAGUACUGGGUUUCUAACCUGCAGCCGUAACCCGGCUGGGGGACAAUGUCCGACGGGGAGUUUGACUGGGGCGGUCGCCUCCGAAAGAGUAUCGGAGGCGCUCAAAGGUUCCCUCAGAACGGUUGGAAACCGUUCGAAGAGUGCAAAGGCAGAAGGGAGCUUGACUGCGACACCGACGAGUGGAGCAGAUACGAAAGUAGGACUUAGUGAUCCGGUGGUAUAAAGUGGGAUUGCCAUCGCUCAACGGAUAAAAGCUACCCUGGGAUAACAGGCUUAUCACUCCCAAGAGUUCACAUCGACGGAGUGGUUUGGCACCUCGAUGUCGGCUCAUCGCAUCCUGGAGCUGUAGCAGGUUCCAAGGGUUGGGCUGUUCGCCCAUUAAAGCGGUACGCGAGCUGGGUUCAGAACGUCGUGAGACAGUUCGGUCCCUAUCCGGCGUGGGCGUAGGAUAUUUGAGAGGAGCUGUCCUUAGUACGAGAGGACCGGGAUGGACAAACCUCUGGUGUAUCUGUUGUUUUACCAAAGGCAUGGCAGAGUAGCCAAGUUUGGCAGGGAUAAACGCUGAAGGCAUCUAAGCGUGAAGCCCCCCUCAAGAUAAGAUAUCCCAUCUUCGGAGUAAGACCCCUUGAAGACUACAAGGUUGAUAGGCUUCAGGUGUAAGUGCGGUAACGCACUCAGCUGAGAAGUACUAAUAGGUCGAGGACUUAU